rnacentral:piRNA from 1 species
UGGGCAGAACGCAGCUACGGCAGCUGU